rnacentral:rRNA from 1 species
UACGUAGGUGGCAAGCGUUAUCCGGAUUUAUUGGGCGUAAAGGGAACGCAGGCGGUAUGGCAAGUCAGAUGUGAAAACCCAGGGCUCAACCCUGGGACUGCAUUUGAAACUGCCAUACUGGAGUGCCGGAGAGGUAAGUGGAAUCCUAGUGUAGCGGUGAAAUGCGUAGAUAUUAGGAGGAACACCAGUGGCGAAGGCGGCUUACUGGACAGAAACUGACGCUGAGGCUCGAAAGCGUGGGGAGCAAACAGGG